UAUAUAUGGAGCUGUCAACUCUCACAGUUAAAAGUAGAGCGAAAUACAGCUUCUAUUUUCUAGGGUUAUUUUAAAAAAAUUCAAUCCACUAAAAUUAUUUUACAAUUAAUAUAUUUAAGAGAUUAUUAUCUUACAUUAUCAUAUAAGAUACAUGAUUCUUUCACAGUCGUUGGAUGAAAAAUUAAUAAUUAUAAAAAUAUAAAAUUAUAUAUCAUCUUAUUUCCACAACCAUUGAAUGAAAAUCUAACGGUUAUGGAAGAAUCAUAUAUGUUAACAUCGUCAAACCAUAUAUUUAUACUUUCAAGCGGCCCCGAAAGCCAGGCAUCAACGAAAACGACAACAGUUUGAAUGAAAACGCGUUGCCACGUCAUCAACCCGUCCACAAAGUCCGGAUCAGACAAUUAAUUAACCAAAAAGACGUUGACCGAUUGAGCCCCACGUGGCACGUAGUCGGCACGUUCAUUAUUCAGUUCACACUAUUUUUCCUUAUUUACGUGACCUAUUCGGCGUCGUUUCCUGAUGGGAACCGUCUAAUUGUCUUUAUCAACUUUUUUAUUAAUUAAUUAAUUAAUCGAAAAAAAUCUUAAUUGUCUCACUAAUUCGCAGUUUCUUUUUUUGCCCUUUCUAAAAUUAAAGUUCGAGGAAACUCAUUAAGGAGAGCUACACAAUUGUCGUUUCACAUCAUGUAUUGGAUUGUCCUUUUGGUACUCACUUCGUCAUAAAAGACAUUUUUUUUUAAUAAUUAAAAGGAAAAAGAAAUAUCCAAUGCGUUGCAUUUACGUACGUGCAUAGGUAUGCUCGAUUGACAGAUCAAAGGGAUUCACGUGAGGUUAAAGUGAUGGGAAAGGCAAAUUGGACGACGAUUGAUGCUUAAAUUAAUUAAAUUAAAUAAUUAAUUAGAGCAAGUAAUGCGUAAUUAGAAUGUUAAAGUGCUUGAGAUUGGUUAAGUAGAGAACACAAUGUUAUGCUCUGAAUAUCCAUUAAUUAUUUAUUUAGGUAUUGUUAAAAUAAUAAUAAUAAUAAUAAUAAUGCAAAAGAAUUAUAGUCAAACCAUAAGAUUAACACAGAGUCAACUAUUGUGUAACGUAAGAUGAUGUUACGACUAUAAAUGGGUUAAUUUGUGUGUAAUUAUUUCUAACUUGUAAGGGAAAAUAUCAAUAUUUAAUACUAACUUGUAAGGGAAAAUAAUUAAGUUCAAUAAAACAAAUUUCAAACGGAAGUAACAAACUUGCAGUUUGAUCGGAUUUUUUUUUAACUUUGACCGUACAAAAACAAUUAUAUAAUAAUUUUGGGAGCCAGUCGUUAUCGUGGCAUAAAAGAUGUAACCACGUAUGCAUUCAGACUUGAAGGCAUAAGUCUGUAGUUGACUUCGAUAGAUGACUUCCAAAGCAUACUUCAUUAUUUCGGUUAUGCCAAGCUAGGAAUAUUAUUCUUUUUUUUUUUUCAAUUUGAUUGCCUCAUUAUCUCAUCACCUAUAUCAAUGCAAGGUAUAUGCAUUUUGAAAUACCCAUAUUGUUAAUUACAUUUUUUUCUUUAAUAUAUUUCUUUCUUU
rnacentral:lncRNA from 1 species